GUGAGGAAUAUUGGUCAAUGGACGGAAGUCUGAACCAGCCAUGCCGCGUGCAGGAAUAAGGUCCUAUGGAUUGUAAACUGCUUUUAUUCGGGAAUAAACCUCUUUACGUGUAGGGAGCUGAAGGUACCGAAGGAAUAAGCACCGGCUAACUCCGUGCCAGCAGCCGCGGUAAUACGGAGGGUGCAAGCGUUAUCCGGAAUCAUUGGGUUUAAAGGGUCCGCAGGCGGGCUAUCAAGUCAGAGGUGAAAUCCCACAGCUUAACUGUGGAACUGCCUUUGAAACUGAUGGUCUUGAAUUAAGUGGGUGUUGGCGGAAUAUGACAUGUAGCGGUGAAAUGCAUAGAUAUGUCAUGGAACACCGAAAGCGAAGGCAGCUAACGAUACUUAUAUUGACGCUCAUGGACGAAAGCGUGGGGAGCAAACAGGAUUAGAAACCCCGGUAGUCC
rnacentral:rRNA from 1 species